rnacentral:rRNA from 1 species
GAUGAUCCGGUGCUUGCACCGGGGAUUAGUGGCGAACGGGUGAGUAACACGUGAGUAACCUGCCCUUGACUCUGGGAUAAGCCUGGGAAACCGGGUCUAAUACCGGAUACGACCUGUCACCGCAUGGUGGUGGGUGGAAAGAUUUUUUGGUUUUGGAUGGACUCGCGGCCUAUCAGCUUGUUGGUGAGGUAAUGGCUCACCAAGGCGACGACGGGUAGCCGGCCUGAGAGGGUGACCGGCCACACUGGGACUGAGACACGGCCCAGACUCCUACGGGAGGCAGCAGUGGGGAAUAUUGCACAAUGGGCGAAAGCCUGAUGCAGCGACGCCGCGUGAGGGAUGACGGCCUUCGGGUUGUAAACCUCUUUCAGCAGGGAAGAAGCGAAAGUGACGGUACCUGCAGAAGAAGCGCCGGCUAACUACGUGCCAGCAGCCGCGGUAAUACGUAGGGCGCAAGCGUUGUCCGGAAUUAUUGGGCGUAAAGAGCUCGUAGGCGGUUUGUCGCGUCUGCUGUGAAAGCCCGGGGCUCAACCCCGGGUCUGCAGUGGGUACGGGCAGACUAGAGUGCAGUAGGGGAGACUGGAAUUCCUGGUGUAGCGGUGAAAUGCGCAGAUAUCAGGAGGAACACCGAUGGCGAAGGCAGGUCUCUGGGCUGUAACUGACGCUGAGGAGCGAAAGCAUGGGGAGCGAACAGGAUUAGAUACCCUGGUAGUCCAUGCCGUAAACGUUGGGCACUAGGUGUGGGGGACAUUCCACGUUUUCCGCGCCGUAGCUAACGCAUUAAGUGCCCCGCCUGGGGAGUACGGCCGCAAGGCUAAAACUCAAAGGAAUUGACGGG